rnacentral:tRNA from 1 species
GCAGUUGUGGUUCAGUGGUAGGAUUCUCACCUUCCAUGCGGGAGACUCGGGUUCAAUUCCUGGCUGAUGUA